rnacentral:siRNA from 1 species
GGCAAGGUUUGAACUAGAUGAGG